UACAUGGGGUGCAAACGUUGCUCGGAAUUAUUGGGCGUAAAGCGCACGUAGGCGGUUCGUUAUGUCAGAUGUGAAAGCCCUUGGCUCAACUGAGGAAGUGCAUCUGAAACUGGCGAGCUAGAGUAUGGUAAGAGGGUCGCGGAAUUCCCGGUGUAGAAGGUGAAAUUCGUAGAUAUCGGGAGGAACACCGGUGGCGAAGG
rnacentral:rRNA from 1 species